GUCAAGUCAUCAUGGCCCUUAUGUCCAGGGCUACACACGUGCUACAAUGGGCGGUACAGAGCGGAGCGAAGCCGCAAGGCUCUAGCAAAUCGCUAAAAGCCGCCCGUAGUUCAGAUUGAAGUCUGAAACCCGACUUCAUGAAGUUGGAAUCGCUAGUAAUCGCGCAUCAGCAUGGCGCGGUGAAUACGUUCCCGGGCCUU
rnacentral:rRNA from 1 species